GACGAACGCUGGCGGCGCGCUUCAAGCAUGCAAGUCGAACGAGAAACCCGGGCUUGCCCGGGUGGAGAGUGGCGAACGGGUGAGUAACACGUGAGGAACCUGCCCCGAAGACCGGGAUAACGCCGGGAAACUGGUGCUAAUACCGGAUGUCUUCGCCGGAUCGCAUGGUCUGACGAAGAAAUGGAUUCCGCUUUGGGAUGGCCUCGCGGCCUAUCAGCUUGUUGGUGGGGUGAAGGCCCACCAAGGCGACGACGGGUAGCUGGUCUGAGAGGAUGUCCAGCCACACUGGGACUGAGACACGGCCCAGACUCCUACGGGAGGCAG
rnacentral:rRNA from 1 species